AAGCAACACAACAAGUAGCCACAUCGCGCUUCGCUGGGCUUGAAGAGAGCUACAAGGUACGUAGUGACUAGCGGUCACGAGCGCGCGCCCAUGGCUUCCACGUCGACGAGCUUCGUGGCCAUGGCGCUCGUCAUGGCCGUCAUGCUCAGCACGUGCCAUGCCGCGCGCCUCCUCGCCGACGUUCCGGCCUUGCCCACACCGAUGCUGCCCCCCGUGCCCGUCGUCCCUACAGUCCCCGCCCUGCCAGGCGGCGUCGUUCCCACGGUGCCCACCGUGCCGAACGUCCCGACGGUUCCCACCGUGCCAGGCGUCCCGAAGGUGCCGACAGUUCCCACCGUGCCCGGCGUGCCGACGGUGCCCACCGUGCCAGGUGUGCCGACGGUUCCAGUACCUGGCGCCGCCCUGCCGACCAUCCCGGCGGUUCCCACCGUGCCAGGCGUGCCGACUGUGCCGGUACCUGGCGCCGUCGUGCCGACAGUGCCCACUGCGCCGAGCGUGCCGACGGUUCCCACGGUGCCACGCGUUCCGACGUUGCCUAUGCCGUCCGUCCCCGGCGUGCCUACCUUGCCGCUGCCGCCUAUGCCGUCCAUCCCCGACCUGCCCAAGGUGCCACUGCCUCCGAUGCCGUCCGUCCCUGGCGUGCCCAAGGUGCCACUGCCGCCGGUGCCGUCUGUUCCCGGUGUGCCGGCCGUGCCAUAGUUCCUUGCACCUCCACCGUCGACGGACCAGACGUACGUACGUGCCCACAUGCACGAUUUACGAGUGUAAUAAAACUGUAACGUCCAACCACCAUAUGGUUACUUUAACUUGGUAGUAUUUGUUUGAGCAGCACUUGUGUCUACGUGUGCAAGUAAAAAAGAAGUACACCCGCUUGUGUACGUGUGUGGUAUAUCUUUUCGAUGGGUGCGUGUGGUGUGGAACUGUGGAUGUGUGUACUGUAUGCUUGUACGUUUAUGUGGUUCAAGACAUUGUUUGUGUAGGAAAAGGGGUAUUGCUCCAUUUAUACGUGUGCCACUGUAUAAUAUUAGUUUCAUUUGUAUCUAUAUAUACACUAUUCAUGUA